UAUUUACGUUUUUCUGGCAGAUAGAUUAAUCUCAAACUUGGUUGGCUUUGCCGAUCGAGUUUUCGUACAAUAAAUAUACAAAGAUAACGCCGACUCUUGAUGUUUUGACGAUGUUUUGUUCCUGUAGUAUAUUUGAAAGAUCGUUAAAACAAGACGCCAAGAACAAUAUAAGCGAGGGGAUAUAUAUAAACAACAGAGCCUGGCUCGAGAGAUUUGUGUCACCCUUUCAUGAAAAAGAAUUUGAAAUUUUAGGCGAUAUAUGGACUUUAAACGCAAGUUCGAUAGAGUUUUUAAGGACGUUUUUGCAAAAACAAAUACGCAAGGACGCAAACGUCUUAUAAUAUAUAGCUAGUUUUCUACUUUUAAAGCAUUCAUAUUAUUAAUAGUUUUAACCUGGUUUAUAUAUUACAUAUCGUCUAACUUAUCUUAUUUUGCAAAGAAAAAUAGUAUGUAUCGUUGUUUACAGUAGUUUUGUGCUAUAUGUUAUAUAUAUCCUUAGCCUUGUCAACGCUAUAUUUGUUAACGUGUCAUAACAAAACUACAAAAUAGUUCUUUUUUAAUGUAAAUUUCCCGAAGCAUCUUAGUGUUCGAUGUAUUAUUUCAUUUAACGUUUCGUUAAAAUAAUAUCUCUACAACAUUUUUA